UCUAUCCUCAUCAUAUGCAUCUUCCAUCUGACUUUUACUACUACACGGACAAAUGCAAUUCUUCAGCCGAAGAUUUGUUAGAACUACAAGAAAACUUCGUUAUGGCCCUAAACACAUAAAGAUUUUGUGAAUACUGUCGUUAUAACCAAGACUGCCAGGCAAGGUAUGUAAGUGCCUCAUGUCCCACUGGCAGUUAUCAAAAUACUCCUAACAGCGUCGUCUGUAAAACCUGUCCGCCUGCCAGUAAUACCACUUCAAAUGCGUCGACUGGCAUCACACAACGUAAAGCUUAUUGUCCUCCCGGUGAAUAUUCUCCUAACGGAUUGUCGCCUUGUGCCAAAUGUCCCAGCAACUCCUACCAAUAUUCUGCAAUGUCCAGGGGAUGCUUGGCAUGUCCAUCUGGGACACGUACACCUGCAGAAGGGGCGACAUCGAAAUCUUGUUGUAUACGUUUGUAUAAACACAGAGCUUAAUAUGAUGUUCAAGUUUCAAGUGCUUUAACGGUCGAGACAAACGCUACAGCUAGUGAGCUUACCGUAACAACAUGGAUUUUACUCAGAAUAAAUCAGUCGCAACACUUUUCCGUGAUCACCUUGUCUGGUACCCAUAGCUUUGUAUU